rnacentral:rRNA from 1 species
UGGGGAAUGUUGGACAAUGGGGGCAACCCUGAUCCAGCCAUGCCGCGUGAGUGAAGAAGGCCUUCGGGUUGUAAAGCUCUUUCAGAUGCGAAGAUGAUGACGGUAACAUCAGAAGAAGCCCCGGCUAAUUUCGUGCCAGCAGCCGCGGUAAUACGAAAGGGGCUAGCGUUGUUCGGAUUUACUGGGCGUAAAGGGCACGCAGGCGGUCUUGCCAGUCAGGGGUGAAAGCCCGGGGCUCAACCCCGGAACUGCCUCUGAUACUGCAAGACUAGAGACUAGGAGAGGGUGGUGGAAUUCCCAGUGUAGAGGUGAAAUUCGUAGAUAUUGGGAGGAACACCAGAGGCGAAGGCGGCCACCUGGACUAGAUCUGACGCUCAGGUGCGAAAGCGUGGGGAGCAAACAGGAUUAGAUACCCUGGUAGUCCACGCCGUAAACGAUGAGUGCUAGUUGUCGGGACUUCGGUUUCGGUGACGCAGCUAACGCAUUAAGCACUCCGCCUGGGGAGUACGGUCGCAAGAUUA